rnacentral:rRNA from 1 species
GACGAACGCUGGCGGCGUGCUUAACACAUGCAAGUCGAACGGAAAGGCCCUGCUUGCAGGGUACUCGAGUGGCGAACGGGUGAGUAACACGUGGGUGAUCUGCCCUGCACUUCGGGAUAAGCCUGGGAAACUGGGUCUAAUACCGGAUAGGAGCCAUUUUUAGUGUGAUGGUUGGAAAGUUUUUUCGGUGUAGGAUGAGCUCGCGGCCUAUCAGCUUGUUGGUGGGGUAAUGGCCUACCAAGGCGGCGACGGGUAGCCGGCCUGAGAGGGUGGACGGCCACAUUGGGACUGAGAUACGGCCCAGACGCCUACGGGAGGCAGCAGUGGGGAAUAUUGCACAAUGGGCGCAAGCCUGAUGCAGCGACGCCGCGUGGGGGAUGACGGCCUUCGGGUUGUAAACUCCGUUCGCUAGGGACGAAGCUUUUUGUGACGGUACCUAGAUAAGAAGCACCGGCUAACUACGUG